GCUGGGUGUGGUGACGCAUGCCUGUAAUCCCAGCAGCUUGGGAGGCUGAGGCAGGAGAAUCAUGAGUUCAACCUCAGCCUCAAAAGUGAGGCACUAGGCAACUCAUUGAGACCCUGUCUCUA
rnacentral:sRNA from 1 species